ensembl:lncRNA
ACAGGAUGAAGUAGGACAUAUAUAGCAAUUCAAUUCAGUUUUAUUUCUAUAGCGCUUUUAACAGUAGACGUUGUCUCAAAGCAGCUUUACAGAAACAUAUAAACACAGGGUAGAGAUUUUAAGUGUGUGGAUUUAUCCCUAUUGAGCAGCCGGUGGUGAAGGUGGUGAGGAAAAACUCCCUGAGAUGAUAUGAGGAAGAAACCUUGAGAGGAACCGGACUCAGAAGGGAACCCGUCCUCAUCUGUGGAACAACGGAUAGUGUGAGAGUAAAGGGAAAAGUAAAGAAAAGUGUCACGUCACCUUCUGGCGUAACCGGAAACUUCAAAUCCCAGAAUUCAGAGGCAAGAGAUUACACGUCCGCAUGCUGUCUGUCACUUAACUCGAAAGUGGGAAGUUAAAACUUGGAAAUAUAACAUUUCUGAUCUCUGUGUGCUCAAGCUACAAAGUGGGAAGAAGACCAUGAGAGCCUCCAUGUUCAGCUUUUGUUAACAAUGAUCUAGCCAGCUCUGUGUGCUGAGUGAUGUAUACUGACCUCAGAACAGUGGGCAGUGUAGUCAGUGUUAUAGGUUAACAGGUGAACAUGUCUGUAUGCUGACUGAUGUACAGUAAUUAAGUGUAUGUACAGUAUAACACAUUUGAAGUGCUCCUGUGUUCACUGCUGAUGCUGUGUUGAUUUGACAUCACUUGCUGAACUUGGGGUUGAGGAGUCUGUCCUGAGUUUUCGAGAUGAGGAGUUGUUUUCUUUGUUUUUUCACAGUCUGAGGUUGGAAAUUCAGACUUAUGUGGAGUUAUACUCGAAAUAGACUGGACUCUCAAACAUUCAAUGCGAAGUCUCUCUUCUAGUUUGCCUAGGAAUGAUCCCACGCCUUUGUUCUGUGGUAAUAUCUUGUGUAUUGACUCUGGGUUUGUUUAUUGACCUGUUUGCCGAUCUCCUGACAUGUUUGCACGUUGUUUACAAGUGUGAAAAUGUCCUAUGGAUUGUUUACCUUUAAUAAAAUCCUGCAUUUGUAUCCAAAAACAUUCACAAAAAUACUCUGCUCUCAUGGAUAUCAAACAAUUUGCAAACAAAACAGGUUUAUAAAAACUAAAUCUUUGUUAAAUAUGUGCAGCAAUUAUUGGCACCCUUUUAGUCAAUACUUUGUGCUACAUCACUUUGCCAAGAUAACAGCUCUGAGUCUUCUCCUAUAACGCCUGAUGAGGUUGGAGAAUACAUGGCGAGGGAUCUGAGAGCGUUCCUCCAGACAGAAUCUCUCCAGAUCCUUCACAUUUCAGGUCCACACUGGUGGACUCUCCUCUUCAGUUCACCCCACAGGUUCUCUAUGGGGUUCAGGUCAGGGGACUGGGAUGGUCAGGGCAGGAUCUUGAUUUUGUGGUCAGUGAACCAUUUCUGUGUUGAUGUUGAUGAUGUUUUGGAUCAUCGUCCUGCUGGAAGAUCCAACCACGGCCCAUUUGAAUCUUUCUGUCAGAGGCAGUCAGGUUUUAUUUAAUAUCUGUUGAUAUUUGAUGGAGUCCAUGAUGCCAUGUGUCCUAACAAAAUGUCCAGGUCCUCUGGCAGAGAAACAUCCCCAAAACAUUAAAGAGCCACCACCAUAUUUAACCGUGGGCAUGAGGUACUUUUCCAUAUGGCUACCUCUCUGUGUGCUCCAAAACCACCUCUGUGUUUAUUACCAAAAAGCUCUAUUCUGGUUUCAUCUGACCGUAGAACCCGGUCCCAUUUGAAGUUCCAGUAGUGUCGGCACACUGAAGACGCUCGAGUGUGUUUUUGGAUGAGAGUAGAGGCUUUUUUCCCGAAACCCUUCCAAACAGCUUGUGGUGAUGUCGGUGACUUCAGAUUGUAGUUUUGGAGACUUUCUGACCCCAAGACACGACUAACUUCUGCAGUUCUCCAGCUGUGAUCCUUGGAGAUUUUUGGCCACUCGAACCGUCUUCUUCAGUGCGUUGAGACGAUAUAGACACACAUCCAAUUCCAGGUCCAUUCAUAACAUUUCCAGUUGACUGGAACUUCUUAAUUAUUGCCCUGAUGGUGGAAACGGGUGUUUUCAAUGCUUGUGCUAUUUUCUUAUAGACACGCCCCAUUGUAUGAAGCUCAACAACGUUUUGCCGCACAUCACAGCUAUAUUCCUCGCUCUUAACCAUUUUUAUGAAUGACUAAGGGAAUUUGGCCUAUGUGUUACCUCAUAUUUAUACCCCUGUGAAACAGGAAGUGAUGGUUGAACAAAAUUCCUGUUCCUAGUCACCCAGAUAUACUAAAAAAUUAAAACUAUGGGAAUAUACUUCAAAUAUAUUUUUCUCAUAUUCAUAGGGGUGGCAAUAAUUGUUGCACACCUACAUUUAACAAAGAUUUUUUUUUUUGGGAUAAACCUGUGUUGUGUUUAUAAUUGUUUGAUAUCCAUGAGAGCAGAGUAUUUUGUGAAUUUUUUAAACAAAGGAUCAAAAAGUUAAACAAUAAAGAAUUUUUUUUCACAGCCUUCUUUGCUCAUAUUUACCAAGGGUGCCAACAUUAAUGGAGGACUCUGUAUGUCUAUACAAUUAGUCAAAAUCAAAAGUACAAACUUUGCAUUCUUUAGCCAGUUUACAUAUUUCAUGAUACCAUGUGGACAAUCUUGAAGCCGCAUUCAUAAAUUAUAUUUAUCACUGAUGAUUAAUCACUGGUUGUAGUGAAGUGUGUGUGUGUGUGUGUGUGUGUGUGUGUGUGUGUGUGUGUGUGGAACAUGGUGUCAUUAUGUACAUUAAGAUGAUCCUGGUGUCCACUAUAAUUGACAUUGAUAAAAAGGCUAAUAUUUUUAAACACAAACCAUUGAACUGCUUUCAGAACUAAGUAUAUUAUUCCUGACACUUUAAUAAAAAAGAAUAUAUGUGAUAAUCAUAGUAAAAAAAAAAAACAAUUAAAAAUACAAUACUUUAGUUAUCUUUCUUCUUUCCAUAAAAUGUGCUUGUUCCUAUGCCGGCCAUUUUAGAUGUAGUGUAAGAAGUUGAUCCUCGCGUCACAGACUGUAACAUGACACAUCACUAGAAAGCCCAGAAUGUCCUCUAGAGUUACUAGAGUAGCUUAAAAAAGUCAGAGGACAUGCAUGAAAACAAAACAUCCACUACAGAGGACACAAGUCAAUGGGCGGAGUCUCAGGAGGAUAUAAAAACACUUUACCCAACCUGCUACACUACACAGCAGGGAAAAGCCUGUCAGUCGAAGACGAAGCUACUAUAUUCUUCAUCAGAUUACAGGGUGAACUAUGAACUACAGACUCCACACAACCUGACCAUGACCUCUUUGAACUCUGGUAGGUUCUUCAGAGCUUCUCUACACAAAACAACUAGACUCAAGAACAGGUUUUAUUUUCCUCACAGGCCAUCUCCUUCAUGAUCAGUUAAUAUGGACAUUAAUCUGUUGGACUAUAGCGAAAUAUAUUACUGCUACUGCUACUGACUAACCCACACUUACUGGUGUGCACAUGCAAUACUGCGUAUUGGUUAUACUGGUCUGGAUUAUUUUAAUAUUGUUCUACUUUAAUAUAUUUCUGUCUUAUAUUUUAUACACCAUUGUGUGUUGUACUCAAUGUAAGUACUGGAAACAAAUUCUUUGUGUAUGCAAACACACUUUGCCAAAAAUUUUGUUUGUUUGAUUUUGUUUGAAUGUAGACAGAGGUUUUAAUUUUAAAAAAUCCUUUACCUACCACAUUGAUUCAGUGAUAUAACUGGAGUGGAAAACAAUGACAUUAUCAUUUCUGGUCUAUGAAAUUCUACAAUAAAAAUAAUUCAUGGGUUUGACCUGGUGCCCGAUUUUCUCCUCUCUAUGACUCUUUUUUUCCCCACCAAUAAAGUGCAGAGUGCGUUUACUUACACUCACUGUUGUCUGUUUCCAAACGGCUCUUGUCCUCCGGUGGGGUGCGAGUGAUUCAAUUGUCUGGAGAAUCAGCACUUUUAAUACAUGUUCCGUGUGGGCGUCGACUUACUGGACGUGUUUUUCUAAAGAAAUCUGUACUGAGGAACUUCCUCAUGUUUUCACUCUAGUUGAUGCUCAAGACUUCGUGUAUUUCAGUGGAUUAAUAAUUUCAAAUCACAGGCAACUUCUCAGACAGACUUAUCUUUAACAUCACGACCCAGAACCUGUGAUUCCUGAGAGCUGUGAGGACUCGACUGAUUACUAGAACCGAUAAGACACACUGCUAACAUGGGAGCUGUCCUAGCUAUAGUUAUUGAUGUGGUUGUGGCAGGAGUAGCUGCUGUAGUUGAAGCUGCUGCUACAGAAGCUGCUGCAGCACUUGUAGAGGUUGGAGUGGAGUCUAUUGUGGAGGCUGGAGAAGCUGCAGCCGCCGCAGCAGAGGCAGCAGCAGAAACUGCCGCAGAGGCAGCGGCCGAAGGUGCAGCCGAGGCAGCGAGUGAAACAGCAGCUGAGAUUGCAUCCAGCACCGCAGCACAAAUUGCAGCAAAAAUUUUGACCUAUGUAGCCAAACUUAGCAAACUUAUAAAAGAAACAUUUGAAAUCGAUGCCAUUUUCAAAGCUGCAAUAGAUGUUUUAAAACUAAUGUUGAGUGAUCCUUCAGUUGCUGAAAAAUACAGGAAGCUGGAGAGAGCUGUGACCAUUUUGGAAACACUCAACCAGAAGAUGAAUGAAAUCAUGAAAUGGCUGGAGGUCCAUAAGAAUGACUCUGUUGAACUCGAGGGAAUUGAUGUCCCCUUGGAGUCAGGAAUCCUGGCCAAGUUCCUUCAACAACUCUCAACGGCUCUGGGGAACAUGAAGCGACUAGCAGACGACAUCAACCAACUCAACCAGAGCAAACAACCAAUCAAAGAUGCCCAGAUUAUAACCAUAAACCGCAGCAUGAUCCGUAUUGUGUCAACAUUUGAGUCUCUCGCCCAGUUCAAAGAAGAAAAGCAAAGCAAAAUCGCUGCAUUGGCAUCACUUCCUGUCAGCGUGGAGGAAGCGGAGGAGUGGAAGCGUGAGCUGGGUUCUGAUGGUGGUCCUACUCUUCAGCUCUUACAUCUUACCCUGUACAAAUACAAGUAAAAGGGCAUGGACUGUCCAGAACCAGAAGCGUAAAAUGGUGUCCUGAUUCACUGCCUGUUGUUUCAAUCAGUAUAUACACAAUUCUGAUGAUUUUAUUGUUUUUAAUCAGUAUAUUCUUAGUUAGUUAGUAUUGUUAUAAUUAACUAGUUGGAUUAGGUUAAGAAGUCAAUCUUUUAAUGCUCUGAUAUUUCAGUGUGGCGGUACUGUUUUCAGAUUCCUUUGUGUACGGAAAAUUCAAAGGUAAAAUAAUUUCUAUAACAAUUGCAGUAAAUGUUUUUUGUUGUUGUUCAUUCUGGAUUAACGAUAAAAAUAGAAAAAGAGAGAAAAAGAGAAUAUUUAAAAUUCUCUGAUCAUCAUAUGAUAAUCCUUAUGUUAUUCCUUAGUGUGUAUCCACUAACCUGUGUUAGAAAAGAUGCACCAAUGUUCAAGGACGUGUGUGUGUGUGUGUGUGUGUGUG